UGGGGAAUAUUGGACAAUGGGCGCAAGCCUGAUCCAGCCAUGCCGCGUGAGUGAUGAAGGCCCUAGGGUUGUAAAGCUCUUUCAGCGAGGAGGAUAAUGACGUUACUCGCAGAAGAAGCCCCGGCUAACUUCGUGCCAGCAGCCGCGGUAAUACGAAGGGGGCUAGCGUUGUUCGGAAUCACUGGGCGUAAAGCGCACGUAGGCGGACUUUUAAGUCAGGGGUGAAAUCCCGGGGCUCAACCUCGGAACUGCCUUUGAUACUGGAAGUCUGGAGUCCGAGAGAGGUGAGUGGAACUCCGAGUGUAGAGGUGAAAUUCGUAGAUAUUCGGAAGAACACCAGUGGCGAAGGCGGCUCACUGGCUCGGUACUGACGCUGAGGUGCGAAAGCGUGGGGAGCAAAACAGGAUUAGAUACCCUGGUAGUCCACGCCGUAAACGAUGGAAGCUAGCCGUCAGGGUGCAUGCAUCUUGGUGGCGCAGUUAACGCAUUAAGCUUCCCGCCUGGGGAGUACGGUCGCAAGAUUAAAACUCAAAUGAAUUGACGGGGUCAUAGCUGUUUCCU
rnacentral:rRNA from 1 species